AGAUGUAGUUUUCUCCACUGAUUACUGACAUUGAGUAAAGGUUCUAAGUGAGGAAAUGGAGAAACUUUGAAAAAGAGCAGUGAAAUUUCCUAGGCCUUUAGUUCGGUGUAGAAGCAUUACUGAAGAAGGAAUCUCUGUUAUUGUCUGGGAAGAUUUUGGUGAGGAAUUUUGCUCUAACCCGGUUGAUUUGUUUCAGGAACUUGUUCAAGUCACCUGUUUCAUCAGAGUCGAGGGGCUGCCUCAGGCCCGGAAGUCCAAGGUGCCAAUUCCAGUUCAAAGCUCCCUCUGCCCAGCCAAAGUCUCCUCUAGGAAAGUCAGGAACAUGUCCUGCCUGCCCAAGUCACCAGGAUCUUCGGACUUCAGGGAACGCCUCAGGACAGGAAGCCCAAGGUGCCAAUUCCUACUUCCUGCCCCUGCCUCUGAUCCAGGUACUCAACCGGGAGAAUCAGGUUUGCCCACCAGGCACUGACAUGCUGGCAGCAACUACAGGGAAGAAAGAAACGUGUGUUGCUCACUUCUUCAUCUGUGGCCCGGGCGUUCAAGGGAAUC